rnacentral:rRNA from 1 species
UACGGGGGGUGCGAGCGUUGUCCGGAAUCACUGGGCGUAAAGGGCAGGUAGGUGGUUUGGUAAGUCUAUUGUGAAAGCUCCUGGCUUAACUGGGAGAGGCCAAUGGAUACUACCAAGCUUGAGUAUAGGAGAGGUUACUGGAAUUCCCGGUGUAGCGGUGAAAUGCGCAGAUAUCGGGAGGAACACCAAUGGCGAAAGCAGGUAACUGGACUAUUACUGACACUCAACUGCGAAAGCUAGGGAGCAACAGG